ACUGACAUAUCCUGGUCCACAUUUUAUAUUAUCAAGUUUCAGUAGGUCUGAAGUUCUGAAAUCCAUAUUUCUAUUGGGAGUAGCAAGGGUAAAAGGAAAAAAAAGACCUAAUUUUCAGCAACAGUUUCAAGUGUUACAAGUGGAAGAAAAUGUUAUCAGCCUUGGCAAGCAAAGUGAACAGUAACAACAAAACUGCAUAUUUCUUUAGCAACUGAGAAAAGCACCUAAAAUAGAGGAAAGAGAAACAAUUCCAGCGAAAGACAAGUCCUCUUGCUACAAUACUCUGCACUGAUUUCCUGUUCAACACUUCUGAAUUAAGAUGAUGAAAAGUACAUCACCAAUUAUAUUCGCCAUAUGGCAAUAUCACAAAUAAAAAGUUUUUAAA